AGGGUUUUUGAAAGGUUUUGGAGGAGCCAAAGCUAAUAGGAAGGUCCAAACCUUAAGCAAGAACACCAAAGAGUAUUGGCUAAGCGUAACUGGACUGAACGUUGGAGGGUGAAAACUUGCUGAGCGCUAAGGACUCCAAGUAAAAGCAAGGGCAAGGCAGAGCAGUGAGCGCUGGAGUCUUCCUUGCAAAUGUACAUGUGGACCGACCUUUUGGGAAGCCUUUUUAUUUUUGGAAAUAUUGUGUAAUUUUCCUAAACUAGGCUCACUCUAAUCUUUAUAAAACAUGUUUGUAACUAAAUGUUAAGUAUGGCCAUACGACUUUUUAAAAAGUUUUUUUUUCUAUGGGUUUUUGAGACAUUUUGUUAAAUGAAAACAUUUAUA